UACGUAGGGUGCGAGCGUUGUCCGGAAUUAUUGGGCGUAAAGAGCUCGUAGGCGGUUUGUUGCGUCGGCCGUGAAAACCUGCAGCUUAACUGUGGGCCUGCGGCCGAUACGGGCAGACUUGAGUUCGGUAGGGGAGACUGGGAUUCCAGGUGUAGCGGUGAAAUGCGUAGAUAUCUGGAGGAAUACCGGUGGCGAAGGCGGCAUCCUGGACCGGCAUUGACGCUGAGGAGCGAAAGCCAGGGGAGCAAACGGG
rnacentral:rRNA from 1 species